UCGGAAAUAUUUCCUUUUUUUCCCUCGUGGCGUGCCGAGCGAUUUUAACGCAUUCAAUAUUGAUAUCGAUAGUAUUCAAUAACUAUUAUGCACCAUCGGAUCACCUUGGGAGACAGACAAUUGAUACUGAACUCCAACGUCGAGCAGCACCAUCGUUUUGUUUUAACAUUAGAACAGCACAGAAACACUCGUGUAAUCAGUUAACUAUUAUCUUUCUCGAUUUCCGUCGCGUCAUACGAGGACAGAAGUUGUUCCGAGUAGAUUAAACGCGAAACACGCCAUUCUUUCCUAGCAUCGAUCACAACGGUGUUAUUCAAUGUGUACACCUUUAAAGGCAUAUGGUAUCAAAUAAUUGAAUUUAUUAACUGGCAUCGACUGAUACGAUAUAGAUAGAGUGCAACACCAAGACAAAACGCUCGACGUUUUGUACGUUUUACGUGCAGCUCGUCACGUCUCUCAGAUAAGAAACCUAACCUGCCAAAAAUAUGGUAUCGCGAUAAUAACGUAAGGAUCGCGGUCAGAUUACAGUCGGGUAAAAAAUGCGCGUGUUACUGACAUGUGGAGGCCACAAAAUUGUUUCAUACGAAUAUUACGUUAAUCACGGUGAAAUUCAUGCUAACGUGAUUAUUCAACCGGAGGUCGAACACGCCUGUGCAAAAUCUUUGUCCAUUCGCUUGACGCAAGUUUAAAUUGGAAAAAAUAGGAAUAUGGUUCUUCCAUGUAAUUGGCCAAGGAGAGUCUGAUGGACUUCUGUUAGAGAAAUCCGUUUCUUCUUUAGACUCUGAAAUAUUUCGUUUUACUUUUUGCCGACUGGGUGUCAGACUCCAGACUCAUUCAUUCUUUUCUGUUUGCUUUUUGGGUCUUUUCCCUCCUUCGUAAAAAAUUAACAGGAGCCAAAGUACCAGAAAAAUAAAGGAAGCCUCGAGGAACUGCGUAUGGUAUAAAUAAUUUACUGGUUAGUAAAUGCAUUGGAAUUGUAUGGAUAGUUUUCUCAAACUUAUAACUAUAAA